rnacentral:rRNA from 1 species
AGUGAACGCUGGCGGUAGGCCUAACACAUGCAAGUCGAACGGAAGCACAGUAAGAGCUUGCUCUUACGGGUGGCGAGUGGCGGACGGGUGAGGAAUACAUCGGAAUCUACUUUUUCGUGGGGGAUAACGUAGGGAAACUUACGCUAAUACCGCAUACGACCUACGGGUGAAAGCAGGGGAUCUUCGGACCUUGCGCGAUUGAAUGAGCCGAUGUCGGAUUAGCUAGUUGGCGGGGUAAAGGCCCACCAAGGCGACGAUCCGUAGCUGGUCUGAGAGGACGAUCAGCCACACUGGAACUGAGACACGGUCCAGACUCCUACGGGAGGCAGCAGUGGGGAAUAUUGGACAAUGGGCGCAAGCCUGAUCCAGCCAUACCGCGUGGGUGAAGAAGGCCUUCGGGUUGUAAAGCCCUUUUGUUGGGAAAGAAAAGCAGCAGGUUAAUACCCCGCUGUUCUGACGGUACCCAAAGAAUAAGCACCGGCUAACUUCGUG